rnacentral:tRNA from 1 species
GGGGUUUUUCCUAGCUUGCUUCUUCGACCGUUUUAGAAACAUCAGUGGCCAACGAUCGUCAGGAUCGUUGAGCUGCAUUGGCGGGAUUUCGCCGUCUUCGUUUCUCUUUCUUCGCGGACGAACACGCGCUGGGCCUGCGAGAGCAGGGUCCCUGGUCCUUGACGGGAUAUGCGUUAGGGGCUUGUAGCUCAGUUGGUUAGAGCGCGCGCUUGAUAAGCGUGAGGUCGGAAGUUCAAGUCUUCCCAGGCCCACCACACUCAUCGGGUAAGCAUUCGUCUUCUGGUUACGGGGCCAUAGCUCAGCUGGGAGAGCGCGUGCUUUGCAAGCAUGAGGUCGUCGGUUCGAUCCCGUCUGGCUCCACCAGAUGGUUUGAUCACCGACGCUGUGUUUGCAGCUAUUCAACCGUCGUCCGCGAAACAUCACUUCGCACCUACUAGUCUGGAUAGACAGUAGGUUGCGUGAUUUCUGACAUCGUAAAGAGGAGAUCGAUCCGAGUUGGAUCGGGCAGCAAGCAAUUGCUGCGCGAACCUUCAUUAUCUCCGGAUCAUUUCGGCGCUCGCGCGCCUUUCAAUGCGGCUCACA